AAGUCGUAACAAGGUUUCCGUAGGUGAACCUGCGGAAGGAUCCUGUAGCCCGUGAAAGGUAAAUCAUUGUUGACCAGCUUUUGAGUCAGGGACCUCUGCAGAUUGUGAUAUUUUCUAGCUACGGUUGAGCGAUUGCAUCUCGUGACCUGGCAUCCCCAGUAAUCCGUGUUCUGAAAGUGUCAUUGAUUGUGUAGGAUGGCGCAGUCACGAUUGCUGCUUUUCGACACUACAGUCUUCGCCGCGCGGGCACCAAAAACCGAACAACUGUUAACAAUGGAUAUCUUGGUUCUA
rnacentral:misc_RNA from 1 species